UACGUAGGGUGCAAGCGUUAAUCGGAAUUACUGGGCGUAAAGCGUGCGCAGGCGGUUGGGCAAGACCGAUGUGAAAUCCCCGGGCUUAACCUGGGAAUGGCAUUGGUGACUGCACGGCUAGAGUGUGUCAGAGGGGGGUAGAAUUCCACGUGUAGCAGUGAAAUGCGUAGAGAUGUGGAGGAAUACCGAUGGCGAAGGCAGCCCCCUGGGAUAACACUGACGCUGAGGCACGAAAGCGUGGGGAGCAAACAGG
rnacentral:rRNA from 1 species